rnacentral:lncRNA from 1 species
AAACUUUGGUCAAAUCUAAAAACAAAACAACGGAAUGCGCUGACAACAGAAAAGCAACAUCGCCUUGCAACUGGGGUCGGUCCAUCAAUUCCAGAUUCUGAAGUUGAUCCUGAUAUUGCACUUAUUGCCCCAAACUUAAUUAAAACUGCACCGAUUUUAUUUUCUUCAAAUAUGUCUGAAGAAGAAGUUACUAGGACGUUUUCAUCUUUUUUUCCUUCUCUAAGUGUAAUGCUGUUGACUCAAUGGAAUGUGAAGAAUACAUAAGCCUUGAACAACUAUUCCCAGAUGAUGAGAAUGAUGGCAAUGAUGAUGAAGAAUUACCACGUGAACCCUCAUCGUCUAUUGUUACUAAAAAAUCCUCAACAAUCUAGGAAAAGAACUAAAGGAAGAAAAAAUCCACCCAAUGAAGACGAGAAAUUCUAUAGAAGCGAAAGG